rnacentral:sRNA from 1 species
UCAAAAUUAUGAUCAAUUGGUUGAAAUGGAGAAAGACAAUAAAGGGAAAAAAAGAUAUCUGAUGAAUAGACUGUGAUUUUGUGGACAGUACAGACUUAAAUGAUGAAAAGCAUAAACCUAAAGGCAAUGGCAAAUUGAGAAUGUCAAACCUACUACUAAUCAAACACAAGUGAGUACCUGUAUAGCCCUAAUGUGAAGACAUUAUUAAGGAAGCUCUAAAAAAAAAAAAAGAACCAUACAGUAGGACUGCCUUGUCAUUAGAGUAAAAGAUUCCUAUUUUAGUCACCUGAAGCACAUACCUUGCCGCAGUGUGACAACUUGCAUACCUCAAUGAUCUUCAGAGCUGUACUGGCGGUAGCUCAUCACUCCUGGCAGGUACUACCAAGCUGGACAUGGUCUCUUAGAAAAGGGUCCUGAAUGUUAUGAAUAUGUAAUGUUAGACAUAAUUGUAGGUCUUUCAGUGUAGCAAAUAUACGGCACUAUUAUUUCAUUCCUAUCACUUGAUUUUGUAAUUUAAUGAAUGAUAUUAAAGAGCUUCCAAAUA